rnacentral:rRNA from 1 species
GGGCUUGACAUCCCACGAACCUGCCCGAAAAGGUGGGGUGCCCGCAAGGGAGCGUGGAGACAGGUGGUGCAUGGCUGUCGUCAGCUCGUGUCGUGAGAUGUUGGGUUAAGUCCCGCAACGAGCGCAACCCUCACCCCUAGUUGCCACCGGGUUAAGCCGAGCACUCAAGGGGAACUGCCAGCGCCAAGCUGGAGGAAGGCGGGGAUGACGUCAAGUCAUCAUGCCCCUUACGCCCUGGGCUACACACGUGCUACAAUGGCCAGUACAAAGGGACGCGAGACUGCGAAGUGGAGCUAAUCCCAAAAAGCUGGUCUAAGUUCAGAUUGCAGUCUGCAACUCGACUGCAUGAAGGAGGAAUCGCUAGUAAUCGCGUAUCAGCCCGGCGCGGUGAAUACGUUCCCGGGCCUUGUACACACCGCCCGUCACACCACGAAAGCUGUCUGUACUCGAAGUCGCUGAG